GCGCCAAGCAAAAGGACCACCUGGAACAACAGCAAGGGUGAGUGUGCCAUCGCAGAAUCGGUGCUGUGCCCCGGCGGAAAAUCACGGAAAAGUGCUUUAUAUAGCUUGUCCGUUUUGCUGAUAGCAGCAUCACGUGUCGAAGGUCCGAGUGGCCAGGUGAAAUUAUCGCGGCAGUCCAAAACCAGCAUCGGUGGCCGAUCGUCGGGACUG